GCUUGAUGAAUGAGAAGAAAGACUUUAAUUCAAGAUUAAUUACCUAAAGUAAGAAUGCAAGGAUAUAAUAAAGAAAUAAAGAGAAACAAUAAAGCACACCACAAACACAAGAAUUUAUAGUGGUUCGGUGCCAACCUUGCACCUACAUCUACUCCCCAAGCUCCUACUUGGGAAUUCCAAUCCACUAUACUUGUAUUCAACCCGAAUACAAACGUCGGAAACUCCGACACUAGCUAUCCCAAGCUAGUCCACUUGUUUCCUGGGUACAAGCCAACCCAAAACACUCCGAUUUCAGGUUCGGAUCAACCUUCCCUUGUUUUGGAAACCCUCCAAAAACAAGAACAAUUACUCACAAGGAGUAAGA
rnacentral:lncRNA from 1 species